UACGUAGGGGGCAAGCGUUGUCCGGAAUCAUUGGGCGUAAAGAGCGUGUAGGCGGCCAGAUAAGUCCGCUGUGAAAACUCGAGGCUCAACCUCGAGAUGUCGAUGGAAACCGUCUGGCUAGAGUCCGGAAGAGGAGUGUGGAAUUCCUGGUGUAGCGGUGAAAUGCGCAGAUAUCAGGAAGAACACCUAUGGCGAAGGCAGCACUCUGGGACGGUACUGACGCUGAGACGCGAAAGCGUGGGGAGCGAACAGG
rnacentral:rRNA from 1 species